ensembl:snRNA U2 U2 spliceosomal RNA
AAUGCUUCUCAGCCUUUCGCGUAAAACCAAGUGUAGUAUCUGUUCUUAUCAGUUUAAUAUCUGAUACGUCCUCUAGCCAAUGGAGUACUACUUAGCUAUAAAGAAUUAUCACCAUUGACAUAUUUAUAAGUAAAAUGGAUGCAAC